UAUAAUGACUCACUGGGGGACUACAGAAGGUGCAGCUACCCAUGCGACUGUGAAGUACAAAUAUAAACGCCCGACGAGGGGCUGACUGAUAUCUCAAGAAGAUGCAGCAUGGGAUGGCCCAACUAAAUUUAGCUGACUCUUAUUAUACCAUCAAUAUGUCCGUCCUCAUACAGAAAUAAAGCGUUGACACUGUCUUC